UUUCCUUUAAUUGGAGGAUGGAUAUAGCAGGAGGGUUGAAGAACUUAGAGCGUAAAUGCCUAUUUUUGAAAGUCAUCUUCAAAAAUAAGACAGUUGUGUUGAAUGAUUUGGGGAUCCUUUUUUCUAGCAUCUGAAAAUUAACCAUGUGUUUAAUUCCACAGGUUGAUUUCUUUAGGUCCCCACCACCCACCAUGAGAUUGGACAAGUCUAGUGGGAAGUGGUCUAGAGGUGAUGGAUCUUCUAGGAUUGCAAUCAGAGCUGGCUUCAUGAGUGUGCACAGGGGUCCCACACAUGAAUGAGUACUUUCCUUCACUGUCUUAAAAUUCUUAAUAGUGUUUGAACAAGGUAUCCCAGAUUCAUUUUCAUUUGCACUGGGCCCCACAAAUUAUGUAGCCAGAUUAGGUUACAGUCAACAUUUGGACAAUGUUAACUCUAUUUAUUGCACACUAUUUUUCUAAGAUAACUAGUAGAAAUGCUUGCAUGUCAGAAAUGUUGUUGUUAAAAUAUCUGAUGACUUAAGCUGUCUUACAUUUAGGCUGAUAUCUCUCCUUACAUCUUUUCUGCCAUUAACAUUAGGGAUUAGAUAGAUCAAACAAGGCAAGGAGAACUCAAGAAAGUCUGGUCACUUCAGUGAGUGUUGGUGUGUGAGGAGAAUCAAGUGAGAAGUGCUUUUAGAAACAUCCAUGCAGGUAUGAAGGAGCUCUAACAUGCCAGGCCCAUCAAUGAGAGAGACAACAUUUAGAUAGGAGUACUGGACAUUUGAAAAUUCUUACACCCUGUGAUGUGACAUGGAGAAGUGACCAACACAACUUUGCCAACUAUACUCCAUUCUUAGUAACUGCCGAUUAGGAAGGAUUUCUUUCUAAGUCUGUCACUAAUUCAACUGUUAUUCACAAGAGAAGUAGAGGCAAAUGAUAGCAGCUUGAUCGUUGAUUUUUGAUUUAGAUGAUCAAUGAUGUUCAGAAUAGUGUUUGUAUGUGUGAGCAUGGAUGUGUAUGUCGUGUGUGUGUCUGUGUAUGUGGUGUGUGUGUCUGUGUAUAUUGUGUGUGUGUGUGUGCAUGCGUGUGUGCAGGGUAGGUAUCACCACAUUCCCUGUGGUGGUGUGUCUCUUCUCUGGGAUUGGUUCUUCUAGAAUCUCCCACCUUUUAGAACCACUUUAAGAUAUUUAUUUAUUCUCUCCAACCAUCCUGGCAAUCUUUUUAUCCUUAAACAGGAAUAAAUUCCUACAGCUGAA